CCUACGGGAGGCAGCAGUGAGGAAUAUUGGUCAAUGGGCGAGAGCCUGAACCAGCCAAGUCGCGUGAGGGAGUACUGCCCUAUGGGUUGUAAACCUCUUUUGUCGGGGAGCAAAAGCCGGACGUGUCCGGCUGUGAGAGUACCCGAAGAAAAAGCAUCGGCUAACUCCGUGCCAGCAGCCGCGGUAAUACGGAGGAUGCGAGCGUUAUCCGGAUUUAUUGGGUUUAAAGGGUGAGCAGGCGGAUUUUUAAGUCAGCGGUAAAAUCGUGGGGCUCAACCCCAUCCAGCCGUUGAAACUGGGGAUCUAGAGUGUGCGAGAGGUAUGCGGAAUGCGUGGUGUAGCGGUGAAAUGCAUAGAUAUCACGCAGAACCCCGAUUGCGAAGGCAGCAUACCGGUGCACAACUGACGCUCAGGCACGAAAGCGUGGGUAUCGAACAGGAUUAGAUACCCCGGUAGUC
rnacentral:rRNA from 1 species